AUUGAACGCUGGCGGCAGGCCUAACACAUGCAAGUCGAACGGCAGCGGGGGUAGCUUGCUACUCUGCCGGCGAGUGGCGGACGGUGAGUAAUGCCUGGGGAGCUGCCCAAUCGAGGGGGAUACCAGUUGGAAACGACUGCUAAUACCGCAUACGCCCUGAGGGGGAAAGGUGGGGAUCUUCGGACCUACCGCGAUUGGAUGCACCCAGGUGGGAUUAGCUAGUUGGUGAGGUAACGGCUCACCAAGGCGACGAUCUCUAGCUGGUCUGAGAGGAUGACCAGCCACACUGGAACUGAGACACGGUCCAGACUCCUACGGGAGGCAGCAGUGGGGAAUAUUGCACAAUGGGGGAAACCCUGAUGCAGCCAUGCCGCGUGUGUGAAGAAGGCCUUCGGGUUGUAAAGCACUUUCAGCGAGGAGGAAAGGUGGCUAGCUAAUACCUAGUUGCUGUGACGUUACUCGCAGAAGAAGCACCGGCUAACUCCGUG
rnacentral:rRNA from 1 species